rnacentral:lncRNA from 1 species
AGUGGAAUACACAUUGAUCAGAAGUUGAAUAUGUGCCGACAAACCACCUCAAAAAAACCACAGUAACUAUACUGAACCAUGGCCAUUGAAGUUGAGAUCUAUACAUCUAUGGACUGAAGGAAAUUGUUUCAACAUAGUUAUCUGUCUGGUAAAGACAACAGGAAAGAAAAGAGUGGGGAGUUCAUGUGAGAAAAACUGCUGAAAAAUCAAUGAUUCCAUCACCGAGGAGCUGUUUCACAGGAAGAAGUGUUGUGUGCUCCAAAUAUCCAGUGUUUUCAAUAGGAAUUCGAUUGCACCAGGGCAGUAAGAAUAGGGUUAGAAAGAAUAUUGUGGCAAUUUCUGUGAAACUUCUUCGUCAAUCCUUUUGCAGUUUUAUGAGCAAGCAAGAAGUUAAAGCAGAAUCAACAGGUUUGUUGUGUAUGGCUUUUGUAGUCCUGCUAUAUCUGGG